UUCUAGUAUUAGCACAUACUUUAUUAAAGAUCAGCCUAUUGUCAGUAAUUCCUCACAACAUGAUUUGGGUAUCUUGCUCUCUGAUAACUUAUCAUGGUCCAAUCACUAUUCUUUUAUUGUCUCUAAAGCUCUUAAAAUCCUUGGUUUGCUUAGGAGAUCUUUUAGUACCUCUACUCCAGUGAGGGUUAAGAAGUUGCUCUACUUAACUUUGAUUUAUUAAGGAUAUUAUGCUACUCGAAAGAGUACAGCGGAGAGCUACGAAGUGGAUUUUGGGAGACUACUCUUCAGACUAUAAAGAGAGACUAUUGUCACUUCAGAUGCUGCCAUUAAUGAUGACAUACGAGGUUAAUGAUGUUUUCUUUUUUCUAAAAUCUUUGUCUUAUCCAUCAGCUGCUUUUGAUAUUAGGAACUUUAUCACAUUCUCAACUAAUCCGUAUCGUCACUACAAUCUACUUCAUGUUACAUGUACAAAUAAUACUUCGAGGCAUUUUUAUUUUAGCAGACUACCUAGGCUUUGGAAC